rnacentral:rRNA from 1 species
AACGAACGCUGGCGGCAUGCCUAACACAUGCAAGUCGAACGAGACCUUCGGGUCUAGUGGCGCACGGGUGCGUAACGCGUGGGAACCUGCCUUUAGGUUCGGAAUAACUCAGAGAAAUUUGAGCUAAUACCGGAUGAUGUCUUCGGACCAAAGAUUUAUCGCCUUUAGAUGGGCCCGCGUUGGAUUAGCUAGUUGGUGGGGUAAAGGCCUACCAAGGCGACGAUCCAUAGCUGGUCUGAGAGGAUGAUCAGCCACACUGGGACUGAGACACGGCCCAGACUCCGAGGGGAGGAAGAGGUGGGAAAUAUGGAAAAAGGGGAAAAAGCCUGACAAAGAAAGGCGGGGGGAGUGAGAAAGGCCUAGGGGUUGAAAAGCUUUUUAACCAGAGAGAAAAAGGAAAGUAGGGGGAAAAUAAGCUCGGGCAAACUCCGGG